rnacentral:lncRNA from 1 species
AAACACUUCAAUAUGAUCAGGUUGUGCACAAGACGAGAAUUGGAGAUGGCGAGGAUUUUUACGAGACGGAGCUGUUUGGAACUCGAUCGGAUCACGAAAAGAGCUUCUUUUUCGGCCUUGACGAUCAGCUCAACAAAGUGGACAACUUUUUUAGAUGCAAGGAAGACGAGUACGAUGCUCAAGCACGGCAACUUCACAUCCAAAUGGAAGAGCUCAUCGCUAUGCAAGGUUCGUUCUAGCAGCCUCUAAUUCUGUGGCACUUAACUUGGAAUCGUUUGAUCUCUGCCAUGUUGUAGAUGACGAAUCUCAGAGCUUGAAGGGGAGCCCCGCCAACAAAGGAAAGGUUCAGCGAGCAGCCAAGAUGCUCCAUUUGUCGAAUUUUAUCGUGGGCUUCGACUCCUAAGAAACUUCAGGUGAAUGACCUCUAUACGAUUGAUCCAUGUUCUCAAAGUGUUGAAAACUUACUUGGCAGCUCCUUGAACAUGAUGGCAUUCGUCAAGAUCCGCAAGAAAUAUGAAAAGGUACUUAUGGAAAAUGGAAAAUUAGUGCAGACUUCUAAAAAGGUUUUUUUGAAUUUUCAGGUGACUGGAGUCUGGCAGUUACCACUUUGCAACGUCGGAA